UACUGUUUAAGCAAGAAAGGACAUGCUAGAUUGCAACAAGAUUCCAUAACAUGCAUUGAAAAUGCUCGGUAUUUGAAAGAUCGACUUCUUGAAGCAGGAAUUAGUGUUAUGCUGAAUGAGUUUAGUAUUACUGUUAUUUUUGAACGAUCUUGUGACCAUAAAUUCAUUCAUCGUUGGAACUUGUGUUACUUAAGAGGCAUGGCACAUGUUGUGGUUAUGCCAGGUAUUACAAGAGAAACUAUAGACAGUUUCUUCAAAGAUCUAAUGCAAGAGAGGAAGAGGUGGUUUCAGGAUGGAAAAACUCAGCCUCCUUGUCUAGCAGAUGAGUUUGGAUCUCAAAAUUGUAUGUGCUCCCAUAACAAGAUGCAUAACUAAACUCCUUGGAACCAUGACUUGAAAUGGUCAUGAUUAUCAAGUAUGUUUUUGAUGCAAGAGUGACUCAAUAAAAUUUAUGAUCUAAAUCGAUCUAUAGUUUUCUAAUAAAUUUAUAUGUAUACUUUCUUUGUUGUGCUUUUACACGAAUGUUACUCAAUAAAAUUUGUAAUAUAGAGUCAUUUAGAGUUUUCAAAUCAAUUUUUAUGUAUACGUUGUUUACAAAUUUUGUAAUUUAACUUUUUACAAUUAGGAAUGGCAAUAGUUUGGGUUCGGGUGGGUUAGGGCGGGGCAAACCUCAACCCGCUAAGAGUUAAACCCCCCCUACCCCGUCCCAUUUAAAAAAUUUUCAAUAGUGUUACUUGUCCCGCCCUGCCCCGUUUAAGUUUUAAUUUACACUUUUUAUAUGAUCUACACUCUUAUUGAUCUACAGUCCCAUUAAUUCAUUCACUUGUUACUAACACACGGUUUGACAGUUGAUAGGAAUUUUGGAUUAGUAUUACAAUUGUACUAGAAAAUGAGACAUGUUCAGGGGUGGCUCGACAGUAUUAAAAAAAAAAAAGGAUAUUGAAUUUUUAUAAGUUAUAAUUUUUAAAAAAAGGGAUAAUGCCCAAGUACCCCCUCAGCCUAUGUCCGAAAUCUCAGAGACACACUUAUACUAUACUAAGGUCUUAUUACUCACCUGAACUUAUUUCAUUAAUAAUUUUUUACCCCUUUUUGACCUACGUGGCACUAUCUUGUGGGCCCAACGAUUGUUGACUUUUUUAAAAAAAACUAGUGCCACGUAUGCUAAAAAGGGGUAGAAAAUUACUUAUAAAAUAAGUUCAGGGGGUAAUAGGACCUUAGUAUAGUAUAAGUGUGUCUCUGGGAUUUCGGGCAUAGGUUGAGGAGGUACUUGUGCAUUAUCCCUUAAAAAAAUAUUGAAUUGUAGAAAAAGUAAACUUUUUAUGAAAAAUGAAAGAAUUAUUAGAAGAAAUUUGACUUAUUUGGAUUACUGUAUCUCUAAAAAAUAUUUUAAAAUAAGAAAGGAUAUAUUAUCAAUUGAAAAUUAGAAGAAAUCAAUCAUAUAAAAAUUAAUAACUAUUCAGUUUAAGGCCCCGUUUGAUUUUUGCUUUAGGCCACUAAUAUGCUUGAGCCGCUCCUGGACAUGUCCUUUUCCAAUCAAACCCUUGAGUUAGUGUGUGUUCGGUUGUUUGUCUAAAUUUUCGAAAAAUAUUUUCUUUAUGAAAAUAAUUUUUUAAAAUAAGAAAAAAUGAUUUUUUAGUGGAAGUAAUGAAAAAUAAAUUCCACAAACUCUUUACAUUUACUAUGUCCUCCCCACUUAUUCAAUAUGAUUAGGGUGAAAAAAUACAUUCUAAGAAGCAGUAUAUAUCAGUUAUAGGUUAUUAAUUCUAAAUAUAGAAAGAUGGAAAAUAUAUUGAACAUUCUGAGGAUAGAUGAAAGAGCUGCUGUUAAUUACAUGCACUUGUUCACUUAUUUCAUUCAAAUAUUGUCUACACAUUUAUAUAUACACUACUCUUGGAAACGUGCGUUGCACGUUUGAUCUCUACUAUUAUAGACAAUUUAUAUAAGCCUAACUUCAUAGAUAUAAAAAUGAUCGUGGUUACUAAUUAAAGUCGCGAACAUUCAACUCAAUCGUCAAAAGAUUAAUUUCAGUCUCCUUGAAGAAUCCAACAUGUCUUCUCUCAUUGCAAGCUCCAUUAGAAGUAGUAAGAAUUUGCAAGAGAACAUUUGAUAUUUUCACGAUCUUUUUGUAAAUAUCCAAGAAUUUAUGAGAUACUCGAGAUGCAUCUUUGAGGAAUAUAUAUUAGCCUUUUAUAACGACAUGAUCUAGAGUGUAGAGUAACCUCCAAGAAUCCUAACAGAAAUAAAACCCGUCUCGUGAAGUACAAUUCCAAGGAAUUGAAGAACACAUCUAAGGAUCCAAUUCUGGUGGUUCUUGUUAAAAAUAUCAUUUACUAAUUAAAGUAUGCUCUCUCUAAUAGUUAAAACUUUUAGAUGAGAUGAUCACACACUUCAACUUGAUAUUAGAGCCGACAAAGGUCUUGUAAUCGAAUCUUACGCCACCCAAAUUAUAUCAAGGCACCCUUAUACCUCCAACAUUAAGGUAAGUUUCUGCCAUAUAAUUCUAAGCCUUUUAAUUAGUUUUUAAUAAUAAAUUACGCAAUACAAUCCUAGCUGAAAGAGUUGAUUUGGUUCUUGUGUAAUAAAACUAAAUGGAAGAUGAAUUAACAUGAAUAUUUGGUAGGAAGAUAAUUAGUACAAAAUAAAAAUCAUGAUAGUAUCUUAGUAGCCAUAAAAUGAUUUCAUAUUCUUAACCUUGACAUUUUUGACAUAUAGUGAUGUCAUGGAUGACAUCAAUAUGAUGAAAUCAUUCAUAUAAAUAGGUAGCUCUUAAUUCAUUUUCAAAUCAUCCUUUCACUUGACUUCUCACCUUUUAAGGCAUUUGUGUUCUCUCUCUAGUAGUAUUUCACUUGUAUUAUUUGUAAAAUGAAAUACAUAUUGGUGCAAUUGUACUUUAAUGGAUGUAGGAUCAUUUUGAUCCAAACCAUGUUAAAUAUUGUUGUUCUUCCUUGUUCUUUAAUUUCACGUUUUCGCUAACAAUUAGUAUCAGAGCUAAGAUUUUACCUGAGUAUGCUAUGGGGUUACAGCACGGUCUAAACUUCAACAACAGAAAAGAAUUACUUUGAUUUUUUGUAGUUCCAAAUACAUUGUAGUAGAAAAGGAAGACCAAAUAAAAAAAUGAGUCGUAUGAAGUUUGAAAUUGAUAGAUUUAGUGGACGCAACAACUUUAAUAUCUGGGAAAUCCAGAUGAUUGCGUUACUAUGGAGGGAAGGUUCAAUCCAUGCUAUUAAUGGAAAAUGCCCCGAUAAGAUAUCGGAUUUCGACAAGGAGAAUAUUGAAGGAGAUGCAUUGAGUGUAAUUCAACUGUCCCUUGCACCUAAAGUACUUUUUGAAGCGAGUAGAAGUACCAAAGCAAACGGCCAAUGAGUUAUGGGAAAAGCUGGAAGGGCUUUACCAGGACCAGUCAGUGACAACAAGAAUGUCGUUGAAACGGCAUCUUCAUACACUUAAGAUGGAUUUAGGUUGUUUGUUGCAAGACCAUCUAGAUGCGUUCAAUAAACUUGUGAUGGACUUACAAACUGCUGGAAUUAAAAAGGACGAGGAGACGAUUACAUGUUCUUUGCUAUUUCCAUUGACUUCAAAAUAUCGUGAUAUUGAGAAUUCAAUAAUGUAUAGCAAACAACCUAUCAAACUUGAGCAAGUGCCACAAGCAUUAAACUCUUGCAAUGUGCGGAUGGAUUUUGAGCAAAAGUGACGAAGCUAGUGGACUCUUUGUAAGAGGUCAUACUAGCCAACAGAGAAGGAAAAAAUCAAAGUACAAAUCAGAAUCUCGUGUGAACAAAAAGAACGGGGGAGUGUUGGGGCUGUUAAAAGAAGGGGCACUUUGAACGAGAUUGUCUUUUGUCGAAGUCCAAAGAAAAGACGAGUGCAUUAAUUGUUGAGUAAGUACAUGAUAAUGGUGAUGAUUAUGUAUUAACAACAUCAUGUAAUAGUGGAGUCUAUGACAACAAAUGGGUCUUACACUCUGGUUGUACUGUGCAAAUGACAUUCCGAAAAGAUUGAUUCAACAUCUAUUAAACAAGCAACGAAACUAUAUCAAUGGGAACUAAUGCAACUUGUAAAAUAGUUGGCAUUGGAUCAGUUCGUGUUCUCUGUGAUGAUGGGAUCAUGAGGACUAUUAUAGAAGUCUGUCAUGUUCUUGAUCUGAAGAAGAAUUUGAUCUCCCUGGGUACUUUGGAUAAACAAGGCUAUAAGUACAUGAGUAAAGGAGGAACUAUGAAAGUGACUAAAUGAUCUUUACUCAUGCUGAAAGCCAAGCUGGAAGAUGGACUUUACACACUUGCGGUAAGAAGAUCAACACACUUGAAUAUUGUGAGCACUGCGUCUUAGGGAAACAGAAAAAGGUCAGCUUCAGCUCCGGCUAACUUAAGACAGGAGGAGUGCUAGACUACAUCCAUUCAGAUUUAUGGGGUCUCUCUAAGCUUCCAUCGAAGGGAUGAAAGAGGUAUCUUCUCACAUUCAUUGAUGAUUUUUCACAAAAGGUUUCGAUGCGUUUCCUGAAGACAAAAGUUGAUGCUUUUGAAAUAUUUAAAGAGUGGAAGAUUUUGGUUGAAAAUCAAAUGGAGAGAAAAAUCAAGUAUCUUCACACAGACAAUAGCUUGGAGUUUUGUAGUGAAGAUUUCAAUGAUUUAUGCAAGGUUCAUGGGAUCACAAGACAUAAGACGGUCAGGCACACACCACAACAGAAUGGAGUUGCCGAAAUAAUGAAUAAAAUUCUUCUCGAGAAGGCUUGUGUAUGCUCUUACAAGCCAAGAUGUCUUAAGUAUUUUGGGUUGAAGCAGUUCAUACCGCUUCUCAUAUUUUCAAUUGAUCUCCAGUAUCAACAAUUGACUUUAAGACUCUGAAUGAGGUCUGGUCAGGUGAACCCUCUAACUAUUCAUACUUGCGAAUAUUUGGGUGUCCAGCUUAUUAUCAUAUUAAUGAAGGAAAGCUUGAACCAAGGGCUAAAAAGGUCAUAUUCGUAGGGUAUAUAGAUGGAGUAAAAUGGUACAAACUUUGGUGUUUGUCUUUACUCAAAUUUGUAGUUUUUAGAGAUAUUACCUUUGAUGAAUCCUAUAUACUUGAUCCUCGUAAAAUUUCUGUGGAGUUAUCAAGAAAUGAAAACAACAAGCAGGUGGAGCUACCGAUGGAUCUUACCAAGGAACGAGAUCAAGAGACUCAAAUUGAUGAGUCAAAAGAUGCAGAUCUUGAAGAACUUGGUGUCAAUGAACCAUACACAAUUGCAAAGGGAAGGGACAAAAGGCAGAUACAAAAAUUGGAACGUCUUAUAGAGAAAGAAAAUCUAAUUGUACAUGCGUUCGUAGCUGCAGAAGUAGAGGUUAAGGAUCUCGACCCCUCUUUGUAUGUUAAGGCAACUUUUUGAGAUGUUGCACAAUGACAGUUAGCCAUGAUGGAAGAGAUGUAGUCUCUUCAAAAAAAUGAGAUAUGGGUCUUAGUUAAAAGGCCAAAGGGGGAUGAGGACAGUUAGAUGCAAAUGGGUCUACAAAAAAAAGAGGGUAUUCCAGAAGUGAAAGAUGUUAGGUUCAAGGUGAGAUUGACUACAAUGAGAUCUUCUUUCCAAUCGUGAAACAUAGCUCAAUUCGCGUGCUACUAACAUUGGUCGCACAAUUUGAUUUAGAGUUUCAACAGUUUGAUGUCAAAAGUGCUUUCUUACAUGGUGAUCUAGAAGAGACAAUCUAUAUGGAUCAGCCUUAAGGUUUCCUAGCUGAAGGAAAAGAAGACAAUGUAUGUCAACUGAACAAGUAUUUGUGUAGUUUAAAGCAAUCCCCUAAACAGUGGUACAAGAAAUUUGAUGCAUUCAUGACUACACAUGAAUUUUUGUUGAGUGCAUUUUAUAGCUAUGUGUAUCACAAGAAGAUGCUUGGUAAUUCUAUGAUAUAUCUAUUGUUGUAUGUUAAUGAUAUGGUUAUUGCUGCUAAAAACAUCACAGAGAUAAAUAUUUUAAAGAAACUGUUGAGCAAGAAAUUUGACAUGAAGGAUUUGAGAAUUUGAAAGAAAAUUCUUGGAAUGGAGAUUUCAAGAGAAAAUGGUGUUGUACAUAUUUUCAAAAGAGGUACAUCGAAAAAGUUUUUGAGAGAUUCAAUAUGCAUAUGAGCAAGCCAAUAAGUACAUCAUUAGCUCCUCAAUUCAAGCUCUCAGAGUUACAAAUGCCUCAGUCUAUGGAUGAGGUGGAACAUAUGUCAAAGGUUCCUUAUGCGAACACAGUUGGUAGCAUUAUGUAUGCUAUGGUGUGUGCACGUCCAAAUGUUGCUCAAUAUUUAAGUGUAAAAAGCAAGUAGAUGGCAAAUCCAGGAAAAAGCCACUGGAAAGCUCUCAAGUUUAUAUUGAGAUAUCUCAAAGGAGCUCCUGAUGUUGGCCUAACCUUCCAUAAAAGUGAAGGUAUUUCAAUUCUUGAUUAUGUAGAUUUUGACUAUGCAAGGGAUCUUGAUCAAAGAAGGUUCACAACUGGAUACAUUUUACUCUCUCUGGCAGUGUCGUUAGUUGGAAAUCAACUUUACAGUCUAUUAUCGUUUUGUCUUCAACAGAGGCAGAAUAUAUGGCAGCAACAGAGGCAGUGAAAGAAUCUAUCUAGUUGAAAGGUUUGGUGGCUGAAUUGAGUUCGGUUCAUCCUGGAUCAAUUCUAAAAUGUGAUAGUAAAAGUGUUAUUUAUUUGAUUAAAAAUUAAAGAUUUCAUGAGCGCACCAAACACAUUGAUGUCAGAUUUCAUUUUAUCCGAGAUGUCGUAGAAGAGGGAGCUAUCAAGGUUGAGAAGGUUAUCACAGACGAUAACGAUGCAGACAUGUUGACCAAAAUAGUCCCGCUUGACAAGUUUGCACACUGCAAGGACUUGGCGGGAGUAUGCAUCAAGUGAUGCAACUCUGGCGGAACAACUGCUAGGUGGAGCUAGUAUGUUUAACAAAGGUUUGAUUCUUCUUGUUUCUUACAACGGGAUUGCCCUGUAAGCUUAGAAUUUUUGGCCGGAGUUGUUUAUACGCAUGCUCGAAACACAAACCUAGGUGGAGAUUGAAAGAGAUGGUUUGGUUCUUGUGGAAUCAAACUAAAUGGAAGAUUAAUUAACAUGAAUAUUUGGUAGGAAGGUAAUUAGUACAAAAUAAAAGUCAAGAUAGUAUUUUGGUAGGUAAAGUUUAGGCAAACCAUAAAAUUAUUUCAUAUUCUUAACCUUAACAUUUUUGACAUAUAGUGAUGUAAUGGAUGACAUCAAUAGGAUGAAUUCAUUCCUAUAAAUAGGUAGAUCUUAAUUCACUUUCAAAAUCAUCCUCUCACUUGACUUCUCACCUUCCAAGGCAUUUGUGUUCUCUCUCUUGUAGUAUUUCACUUGAUUCGUUGUAGAGUGAAAUAAAUAUUGGUGCAAUUGUUCUUUGAUGGAGGUAGGAUCAUUUUUAUCCGAACCACGUUAAAUAUUGUUGUUCUUCCUUAUUCUUUAAUUUCACGUUUUUGCGCUAACACUAGCUAAUGCUUUCAAGAAAAUCUAUUUCAUGGUUCAAGAACGAACUUUUGGAUUUGUACUUCAAGUAUCUAGAGCGAUUAUACUAUAUAAGGUUGUUCUCUACUCUUUACGUAUCUAAUUACUUCUUGUUCAUUUUAAAAUUGAUACACCUAUUAAGAAUAUAAUGAUUUGUUGAGUUUUAGCAAAAUGUCAAUGGAAAAAGAGAAGAGAAAAAUGAAAAAGUGAUUGACUAAUAACUUUUUUGGACAAAAUUUAUUUAUUAAAUUUUGUUAAUUGAAUAAAUCCCAUUAAUUAUUUUCUCUUAUAAAUUAAUUCAGAAUGUUAGUUAAAUAACAGAAUAAUUUUAAUACGAAGAAAUUUAUUUUAAAUUCGCGUGCAAUGGUAGUACCGGUCUGAAGGGACCUGUUCUUUUUCGAUAAUUCGUUAUUUUUUCCAAAAGACAACUUUCUGGAAAAAACAGGUCUGAACAAAUUCAUUUGAACAUACACGAUUCUUGUUGAAAAUGGCUAUAAAAAGGAGAUCUUUUUCAUUUUUUCAGAUACUGAAAAUUUUUUCAUCUCUGCAUACAUUUACUCUCAAAAAAAUUGUCGAUUGACUGAGUCUGUGUGUUCUUUUUACUGUUCUUGCGUUCGCUAAAAUUAUUAAAGUUUGAGGUACCGCUACUUCUCUAACAGGUUAAUUCGUUUUAUCUUGGGAGAAAUUAAUCUGCAACCUCGGAUAAAGUGGGGGAAUUAAAUUCCUUAAGAAAAUACAGUGAUUUCUGUGGACUUGGAUUAAAAGUUUACUUUCUAUUUCAUCUUAUUUGUGUUUCUGUAUUUUUGACUAACCUUAAUACAAGAAUAACAAUCUUGAGAAAUUUAAUAGUUUCUAUAUUUGAGGUUUCUAGAGAUUAAAACCUUUAUGGUUUUAUACUCUGUUUGAAUUUUUAAAAUUCAUUUGAUUAACGAUUAAAAGAAUAUUAAAACUGUAUCACUUAAAUUAAAAACAGUCUGAGUAAGGAUUUAUUCUUUACUAUUAGUAUUUCACAUACUAAAAUUGUCUACCAUUUUUGACAGAAAAAAUGACCAAUUCAAUUCAAGUAAAUGCUGAAAUAGUGAGUGUUGCAGCAAUAUCGAUUGGACACAAUCGUUCAACUGCUACACUAGCACCGCCUAAGGAACCUGCAAAGUUUUCUAGAAUCGACUUCAAGAGAUGGCGAAAGAAGAUGUCCUUCAAUCUCACUAGGUUGAGGCGACUUCGACAAGCAUCACUAAAUUCUUUUGGGAUGGUUUUGAUUAUGGAGUAUGUUGGAGUGACUCAAAAAAAUUAUUAUUAGAGUUUGAAAAUAAAUUUUCAUGUAUCUUUUUAUUUGAUUUUUUUAUUUAGUUCUUGAAAUGAAAAGUUUCUGAUUAUCAUGUAGUUUGCAAUAAGUUUUGAAUGUGUGGAAAGUAGAUUAAUCAUAAAUAAAAUCUAAAGAAAUAAGAAAGUUAUUGAAACUAACAACUUGAUUCUUUUCUAAGGAUUUCUCCAUGGUUUGAGGGCGGUUGGUAAUGUAUUUAUGAACAUAAGCGAUCACAUUUCGAUUUCUUUAUGAAUAUCUCAUAAAUUUAUGAAAUUUUAGAAAUUUUAAUCUUUAUGAAUAUGACUUUUGGAGAUUUUUAUCUUUAUAAAUAUUCAAAUAAUAGUAUUUUAUGUCUUCGUGAUCUCAUUGUGAUUAUCCAAGAAUUUAUAGGAUAUUUAGGACGCCUCUUCAAGGAAUAAAUUACCCUUUAUAUAGGCAAAAAAUUACCCUUUGAUAGGCAAGACAAUAUUUUGAUGUUUUCUUAAUCUUUUUAUGAAUAUCCAAAAUUUUAUAAGAUAUUCGGAAUGCCUCUUUAAGAGAUAUAUUCCCUUUUAUAACGGCAUGAGCUAGAGUUUACAGUAACCUACAAGAACCUUAACAGAAAUAGUACUCGUCUUGUGGAGUCCUAUGCCAAGUAAUUAAAGAACACGUCUAAGGAAUAAGGAUCCAAUUUCGGUGGUUCUCGUUUAGAAUAUCAUUAAUUAAUUAAAGUGUGUUAUAUCUAAUAACUUAAUUUUUAAAAUGAGAUGAUCACACAUUUCAACAUGAUAUUAGAGCAGAUAAAAAUCACUCUUAUACCUCCAAAAAUUAAGGCAAGUUUGUCCCAUAUAUUUCUAAGAAUUUUAAUUAAUUGUGAAUAAUUAAUUACACACUACAAUCCUAGUUAAUGCUUUUAAGAAAAUAUAUCCCAUGGUUCAAGAAAGAACUUAAUUUUAGAGUUGUACUUCAAGUAUCUAGAGCGAUUAUAAUAUAUAGCUAGUGUUUGAUUACAUAUUUUAAAAUAUUCUUGAUAAAUAUUAUUUGGUUAAAAAUUUAAGUAAAAUUUUAUCAUGUGUUUGAUCAUAGAAUUUGAGAAAUAUAUUUCACUUUUUUAAAAAAAUAUGAUUUAUCUCCAUAAGUUGUAAAAAAAAUAUCAAAACUAACCAUAAGUUUGUAUUACAAGUCAAUUAGAUCUUCGUUGCAACACAUGACUAGUAGUGUCCAUGACACUAGAACAAUGUGGUAGUUUGAACUGAGUGCAACAACAUCAUUUUAUACAUCGUGAAGUAGAUAAAGCACAAGACUUUGUUACCCUGAAUCCAUUCUUCAUAAUUUUUAUCAACAAUCAUAUCAUCACUUUCAUAUUCACUGAAUAUCUCAUCACUACUUUGGUGUUCACGUAAAAAAUUAUAUAAUACAACACAAGCAACUAUAGAGAGUGUUUUUGUAAAAGACAAAAGUUUGGUGUAAAAUUUCAAUUUUCAAAAGAUCCAAAACAAUGAGAUUUGAUCCAGAUACUAGGAAAAACUAGCAUUUGGAAAUGUGGAAUAUUUGUCAAAUAAUAGCAAAUUAUAUGGGCAAACACUAUUUAUCAAUUUUUUUUUCCAAAUAUUAUUUGAAAAAUUUAUGGCCAAAUGUGCCGAUAAGUUAGUUAUCUACUCCUUCUAUACCUAAUUACUUGUCCAUUUUUAAAUUGACACACCUAUUAAGAAAACAAUUAUUGACAUAGUGAAUUUACCAUUUUACCCUAUUAUUUAUGAAGCAAAUGAAUUAAAAAUUUAAGAUUUUCAAGAAGUUCUACUUUUUCAAAAUAAUGAAUUGAAGGUAUAAUAGGUAAAAAAAAAAAUUGUACUUUCUAGAUUUUUUAAAAUAGACAAGUAAUUAAGGAUAACUAAAAAAGAAAAAUGGACAAGUAAUUAGUGACAUACCCGUAGGGGUGUACAUGAUCGGGUUGGUUCGAAUUUUUCAAAUAUCAAAUCAAACCAUUCGUAUAAAAUUUUUAAAUUUAUAAACUAAAGUAAUAAAAUUUGGAUUAUUCAACCUCGGAUUGGUUCGAGUUUUUCAAAUAUCAAACCAAUUAUUGCGUCAAUUUUUGAAUUUAUAAAUCAAACCAAACUAAUAAACUUCGAUUUUUUCCAGAUUUUAGGAUUUUCGAUAAAAUUUACAUACAAACAUAUAAUUAACUUGUGCUUCAAAUGUUUCAUUAGUCCAACCAAAAUACAAUUAUCUAAGGUGUUUCUUAAAAAAUUAACACAAAAUAUGAGAUGAAUAUUGAUGACACAAAAAUAUUCAAUAAAAAAUAAUAAUUAAAUCAUCAUAUAGAAUCAAUAUUGUAAAGUCAUGAUAAAAAUAAUCAUAAUUUAAAAGUACUAAAUCAUGCUAAAAUAUGUUCAAUAAGUAUUAGUUACAUUACUAAAUAUUUAAGGAAAAUUAAAAUUAGAUUAUGUAUUUUAAUUGUCUAAACCGAUGUAAAAUUAAAGAAAAAAUAUUCAAUAUUAUUGUCAUUCUUAGUGUUGAAUUGAUUUUAUUUGUGCAUUAGUAUUGAUUUGAUUUUGAUUUAAGUUUUGUUAUAAUUAUCAACAUUUAUGAACAAUAAUCUUUGUUGGACCAUUCCGAAUUCUAAGUUUUAAACUUGAAAUAAUAUAUUAAAAGAUAAAAACUAUGAAAUAGUAUAAGAAAUAUUUUAAAAUGAUAUCAAAGUAAUAUUUUUAUAUAUAAAAUAAAAUUUUAAAAUUACAUAUCUAAUGUCGGGUUGGUUUGGUCUCGGGCUGAAUUAUUUUAGUUAAAUCAAAUCAACCCAAAUAUAGUCAGUUUUUUUUAAAUAUCAAACCAAGUCAAACCAAAUCACUAGUCAGAUUUUUUCCCCAAUUUAAUUCUACUUGUAUAAUUUGGUUCGAUUUUCGAUUUAAUUUUAUACACCCUAGAUAUUGAAAGCAUGUUUGAGUUUUCCUCCGUGAAUGGUUGGAGCUAAUUAUGAUGAAAAUUCUUGUUUUUAUUGUUUUCUUAUUAACUUCAAGAAUUCUCAAUGAUGUUAUUAAUUCUCUGUGGUAUAUCCACCUCCAUGAAUUUUAUUAAGAAAAUUGAUAUGAAUUUGUAUUAUUCUUGAAAAUGGAGACAAGAGAAUCAUAUUUUUUACUCAAUGGUAUGCGUAAUCCUUCGAAAUCGCAUGUGACAAUUAUUUAAUUUCUACGUAAUCUAAAUCCCAAACAAAUUUAUCAUUGAGUUUUCAAAUUCUUGAGGUUCUUAAUGGUUUAGCUCGAAAUCGAACAUCUUGCCCAGCCUCUGAACUAUCCGUAUUCAGUAGGGACAAUAAUGGAGCGAUGUGGGUCGAGGCGGGUUUAGUUUAACCCACAAAAUAAUUACUUCACUCUGCCUUAUCCCGCCCUGCCUCGCAUAACAAUAUUUUUAUUUUUAACCCGUCCACAUGAACUCGCCCCGUAAUUUUCUUAAGAUUUUAUUUUUUUGUUUAAAUUUGAUAUUAAAAAUAAAAUUUAUAAAAAUACAUUCACUUUCAUUAAAAUAUAUUAAUUUUAUAGAUAAUGACUUAGAUAUUUAUUUUUUAAAGGUCAAUUGGGUGUGAGAAAUUGUAUUAUUUUUUAUUGAACCAUUUUCAUUUAUUAUCUUAAAUAUUUUAGUAGCUUCAAAGAAAUCAUCUUAAUAAAUAAUGUUCUACCUCUCUUAUAACACGUAAAAAAAUUAAAGUUAAAUUUAACUCCAUAUAAAAUCACAUAUACCGGCAAUCCGCUCCACCCUAUAUUAAUUUUUUUUAAAAAACACACUUCAAUAUAUCUCUCCCGUCCCGCACAACCUUAAACUCGCUUGCAUAAUCUUAAACUCACCCCGCCCUAUUAUUAUACCCAGCGUUCACAACAUAAUAGUUAUUGAUGUAAUUACAAUUAUAUAACAAAAAUAAAUGAUGCUAUAACUCUCCUUCACACCCCAUUUCUUUUCUCAUUAUUUGGAUAAAUUAGUCAUCUAUAAUAUCUUUGAAUUUUUAGGUUACCGGCUACACUAUUCAUUACAACACUAACAUAUUAGUUAAAUCCUAGCUAGAUUUGGGAGAUAUGAUGUGGCAGGCUUUUAAAAUCAAGAAUGAUAUUUGAUUUUUUGAAAAAAAAAAUUUGAUAUAAAUUUAUUGUUUUAUGUGGAUGAUCCAUUAGAGUUAUCCAACAAUUAAUUGGAUUUAUGUAUAAGUGUUUUCAAGGUGAUAAGCUUCUCAGGCCAUAAGAAGCUUAAGAGAUAACUAUGUAUCUAUUAAUGAGGUGACCUUUGGGAGUGAUAUCUCAACACUAUAAAUAGAGAUAUGACUCACCAUUUGAUAAAAUACUUGAAUAAGAAGAAAAAUUUUCUCUUCCAUCUUACUUCUCUUGUCUUCUUCUCUUUCUAUUAUAUUAUGAGUUUGUGAUAAGUUUGAAUCAGCCCAAUUGCUCCAUUCCCUAAAUCGAAUGUGAUAGCAGUAUGUGAUAAGUUUGAAUCAGCCCAAUUUCUCCAUUCUAUCAUAUGGAUGUGGUAGCAGUGAAUAAUAAGUUUGAAAGACAACAUGUGAUUAAAUGUAUGAAUAGGGGCGUGAAGGGACAAAUCAUAAUAGUCAUCAUUGUGGUAAUUAUAAAAAGAAAGAAUAAUAUGAGUUCUUCAAAUAGUCCUUCAAACUAUGAAAAUUAAUUUUAUCACCAAAACGGUAUGAAAGGUCAUUGGAUACGCGGUUAUCAUGCGACCUUAUUUUUAUAAGUUUUAUAAAUCCUCCAUCAAAAUAAAAGAAUAUAAAGUGAUAGUGCAUUUUAUCUUUCAAAGUGAUUUUGAGGUUAAUCAUGUAAAUAUGUCAAAUAUAAAGGUAUGACAUGUAUAAAUUGUUAUAUUCAACUCAUGAAGAGAUUGUGACUUUAAUAAGCAUGUGAAUGUUUGUCUAUUCUUGAAAGUGAAUAUGGAAAAAUAUGAAGGAAAAAUAUGACUAAGAAUAUAUUCAUGUAUGGUUGGAUAUAUAUCAGACUCACAUCUACGGGAGGUUUGGGAGAAAUAAAUAAGUUUUAUUUGACACGAACGGUCAAUGGUCGUGUGCGUUUAUACGUCGUAAAUAUUAUGGUAUAUUUUUUAUGAACUAUUGAAAAGGAAAAAAGAAAGAAGUAAUUCUUGCCUAUAAAAAUUGUGGUCAUGAUCAAAUAUACUGUGGCAAUACAAAUUUGUCAUUGGUUGUGUGCCUAUGGUAAAACAAAAGUAAAACUAGAAACAUGUUUUGCUCGUAAUAAUUUUAACCAUGAGAAUAAUGAUAUAAUUUCCUUGAGGGGAUGUUCACUAUAUGGAUGGUGUUAUGGAAUAUGUGAUAGUACACAAAAUUAAUUGCAAGCUCUAACGAGUUGUUUUAUUGUCAGAGGAAUAAUAUUGAGGUUGUAGUAAGUUUCAAAAGAAACUUUUUAAGUUUUAGAUGAAUUGAAAAGAAAUACUGAGACUGUAAAUUAUGAAAAGAUUUAUUAUCUUUAGAUUACUACAACCGAAGCGGGUUAUAAAUAUUAUGUAAUAGGUUACCCAUUGUUCCUCUUGUUUGUUGUAUACAAACAUGGACAUGCUGAUGAAUUCACAUGCAAAAGUAAAUAAGUGUACUGAAAUAAAGAUCAGUUGGAAUGACCGGUUGACCAUUCUGGUUUAAAUGUGAUGCAAAUGUAAUUGAGAAUUCAUGUGGAUUAUAUGAUGAAGAAAUAAAAGAUUCCUCAAGAAUUCUCUUGUGUUGCUUGUUUUCAUUGUACCAGCUAAGGUUCAGAUUAUAAUCCCUAAAUCUUUGGAACAUAUAAAAAGGUGAUGAGCCUGUCUCCUUCAAUGUAGAUCAUUUGCAACCAUAUGAUCGAUGCAUCUAUGUGAUGGUCACAUGUGCUUUGUUGUACAUGUGCUUUGUUGUCAACUUACAAAUUGGUGUUUGUAAUGUUGUUUGCUCUAAUUGUUAAAUUAAGAGCACAGUUCCAAAUUAUGAAAUUAUAUUGGUAAUGCUGGUUGAUUAAGCAGAAAUUGUAUGCCUUCAAUUAUAGAUAAAUCAUGGUUAUGAGAAUAAAACUCCCCAAUAAAAUUUGGUAUGAGAUAAUUUUAUUUAACAUGUAGCAACACAUAUAUGCAUCAAGCCAACAAGGUUUUCCCAUUAAAAUUGGUUCAGGUCAGAGACCAAAUAAUUUUCAUAUAAAAUAUUACAUGUGCGGUUAUGAUUUUAAUUGUUUCACCAUGCACAAGGAUGAAUUCUCAAAUAAGGUUGGGAUGAAUAUUAGAUUUCCUAACAUUAAGUGGAGAGAUGAUUGACAGCUGAAAAUUAUUUAUGAGGUUAAUUAUGAAUUAUCUGGAUCUUCAUUAAAUAAAUAUGUGAACUUAAAGUUCAAAUGAUAAUUCAUUUGCAUAGCAAAUCAAUUGUCAGAUGAAUGUAGUCACCCUAUGAUAUAAUUCAGCUGCAAAUGCUCCAAUGUGAAGUCCUUGAAGGACGGAGUCUAUGAUACGCCGAAAGCGUAAUAGACCAAUCGAUUCCAAAUAUAAAAUUUCUUGAAGAAAGAGAGGAGCAAAUGAUCAAUAUGAUCAUGAUAAUUAGGCAAGUGCUCUAAGAGAGCACCACGACAUAACACUUCAUAAAACUUUGGAAAAGAUUCAGGUACCUGAAAAAUGAUUAAAAAAUGAAGAGAUAUCGAUAAUUUAUGUUAUAUUGAAAUCAAUAUCAAUUAACACCAUCGAAGAUAUUUUUGAUAUGAGGUAGCGCUCAAUGAUAUAAAUUGUAACGAGGAUCUUGAAUUCAAAUCUGUCAUAAAGUGUAGACAAAUAAAUGGUUGGCCAAGUAAAAUGCAUAAUUCAAGUAUAUUGUUUUACUAAGAAAAGUGAGUUUUGGACUGAUAGUCCAUAAAUUAAGGUAUAAUAUCAAUGGGGUACAAUAAAUUAUUAUGUCAUGGUAUAAUUGUAAUAUCAAGUAGAACUUGUGCCUUGGGGCAUAAAAGUUUGUCGCGAAAUUCCUGACAUUAUUGGAGAUGUUUUCUCCAAUGGUGUAUGCAAUGAGGUUUGUUUUGAUCUGGCAAUAUAUGAAACACGUGAAUGCAAAUAAUGAAUAAUUAUCAUGCCUAGCUAGACAAUAAUGAAGGUUAUAUAAAGAUUCUUGAAGUAAUCGAGGUGUUUGAAGCAUAUAAAAGUUUAAAGGAAACUUUUUCUAUAAAACUUCAAGAAUCCUUAUAUGGAUUGAAAUAAUCAAGGAAGAAAAGAGUACAAAAAGAAUGACCAUAAUUGUCCUUGAAUUUUAUGAAAAGUUCAGGAUCUGAAUUUGUUAUAAAUUAUGUAUGUAGAUGAAUUGAAAUUACUAACACUCUUAAGGAGCUUUUAAAAGCUAUUGAGUAUUUUGAGAAGGGAAUAUAAAAUGUAAAGAUUCUGGAAAGACAAAAUUUUAUCUUGACCUAAGAUUGAAACUUUGACGAAUGAAAUAUUUGUCCAUCAAUCAAAUACAUAGAAAAGCUUUGAUGCAACUUUAUAUGAUAAAUCACAUUCAUUACCCCAAUGAUUAUGAGAUCGAUUGAAAUAAAUGAUGAUUCAUUUUUUAUCUUAAGAGAAGAAUGAAGAGCUUCUUGGUGAUGAAACUCCAUAUCUUAGUGCAAUCAUGAUACUAAAGCAUCUUGCUAACAAUACUCGACCAGAUAUCUGUUUGGCAGUAAAUUUACAGGCAAAACUCGGUUCCUUCCCAACAAAAGGACAUUGAAAUGGUGUAUGUAUGUACUUGAAUAUCUUUCCGAAGAAUUCAAGUCAAAGCUGAUUGGUUACGCAAAUGCAGAAUAUUUAUCUGAUCCGCAUAAAGCAUGAUCUCAAGCACUCUAUUUGUUUGCAUAUGGAGGCACAUUAAAAAAUAUCCUUGCGAUCAAUGAAGCAAAUGUUGCUAUGCAGAAAUAAAAUCCCUCCAUGAAGCAAGUCGAAAGUGCGUCUGGUUGAGAUAAAUGACACCAUAUUCAGGAAAUGUGUGGUUUUUCCUUGAAAAAGAAUAUAUCAACCACAAUGUACGAAGAUUGGAGACAUCAUCACAAGAAAUUAAGUGAUGUUUUAAUCAAGGAGAAUAUAAUACGCGUUGCACUGUUUUUUCCUUGACCGAGGUUUUGUCGCACUGAAUUUUACUGGCAAGGUUUUAAUGAGGCAACAAAUAAUGCAUAUCAAAAGAUAUGUGUACUCUUUUCCUUCAUUAGAAUUUUUUUUCCACUAGGUUUUUUUCUAGUAAGGUUUUAACGAGGCACAUUAUCUAUAGACAUCCAAGGGAGAGUGUUAUAAAUCUAUUGUUUUAUUUGGAUGAUACAUAAGAGUUAUCCAACAAUUAAUUGGAUCAUGUAUAAGUGUUUCCAAGGUGAUAAAAACCUUAAGAGAUAACUAUGUAUCUAUUAAUGUGGUGACCUUUGAGAGUGAUAUCUCAACACUAUAAGUAGAUAUAUCACUCACCAUUUGAUAAUAUACUUGAAUAAGAAGAAAAGUUCUCUCUUCCAUCUUACUUCUCCUAUCUUCUUCUCUUUCUAUUAUAUUAUGAGCUUGAUUUUAUAACAUUUUUGACAUUUCUCUUAAUCAUUUUUAUUUAUAUGAUACGAUAAAAAGCCUAUAAAAUGUUUCUUAAUUAUUAUAUCUUUUUUUCGAUAUACAAAGCUUAAAAGAUAUUUUACUAAUUAGUAAUUUAAUCAUAUUUAUUAUGCAAUAUAAUAAUAUAAUUCUAUACAGCUAAUAUAUAGCCUAGAGACAUUAGGACUAAUUUUGGCGAACAUUUUUCUUCUUCUGACUUUUUAAUCCUUACAUGUACCUUUCCCCUAUAUAAGUCAUUGACAGAUUAUUUUAAUUUUUUUUAAAAAAAAUUCAGUUAAUCAAUCGUUAUAUUUAAGACUCAUAAAUAGUGAUUUAAAUUUGCAGGUUCUCAUCCUAAUAAAGUUUUGGAGUGGGUAUAUGGUGUUUUGAUUCGAUUUUUAAAUUUCAAUUUGAAUUUUUUUUUCAUAGUGUGUAUCAAAUAUAAUAUCAAAUUAAUUUGAUUUGUUCGAUUUGAUUGAGUUCAAUUUUUGUAAUUCAGCCUAAGUGUCAAACAAUUAAUAUCAGUAACAACAUCAUAAAAGUUAAAUUGUACUUAAUAGAUUGUAUGAUAGAGCAUAUUUAAGAAAAAUGCAUGUAUAUUAGCAAAAAAGUUAAAGAAGUAAUUUGAUCUUAAAUCAUUAUGCAAUAAAAUAACAUAAAAUCUGUAUUAUCUAAAUAUAGCUUAAGACAUUAGGAGUUUAAGACGUCUCUUCGGCCAACAUUUGUUCCUUCAUCUGUUUUUUUCUUAAAAAAUAAAAUACAUUCAGUAUACUUAAGACUCAUAACUGAAGAUUUAGAUUUGCAGUUCUUUCAUCCUAAUGAAGUGAAUGUAGCCAUUUAUUUUAUACUCUGUAUUUCCAAUAAUAGUUAUUCAUUAUUGAUUUGACACAUAUUUUAAAAAUAUUUAAUAAAUAAUAUGACUAAGUUAUCCUUUAAAUACAUUAAAUUUAGUACUUUGAAAAAUAUAUUUAAUAUUAAAGUACAAUAUUUAAUAUAAAAAUAAUUAUCUCUUGAAUUUUUAAAUUUAUGAAUAAUUGAAGAAGAAAUGAUUAUGCAUUGUAGUACUUUUUAUAUGACGUACUAUGUUAUAUUGCUUAGAACGAAAGAUUGAAGAAGUUUACUUUUUAAUUAUAAAUUAUCCAUAUAUUAUUUAAUUAUUUUGACUUGUUAAUUAUUAUGCAUUGUAGUACUUUUUAUAUAGUUUACAAGUAUAUAUAAAUUUAAUUUUUAAAAAGAAUUAAAGAUUUCAUGCACAAAUUUUCAAUCAAAACGCAUAUUAGUUGACUCUCGAAAACAAAAUGUAUCACAUAAAUUUGAUACUCAAAAAAUAGUUUGUUUGUAAUGUUUAGUUUAAUAUGUUAUGAUUGAUCUUUCUCGUUGCUUUUUUUCAAUUGUAAAAUUCUAAAUUUUUAGUAAUAUAAUUUUUUAGAAGUGAGAGGAUUCAAUUUUUUUUUUUUUUAGAAGUGAGAGGAUUCAAUUUUUUCUUCUCUUUACGCAUCACAAUUCUUUUCCAAAGCAAUCAAAUUAGUCUAGAAAAAAUCUGUAAUGAAAAAUAGUAGCCAAAAUAAAUAAAAAUCAAAAGCACGUACGAGUUUAUUUUUUUUUACUAAAGUCAAGUACGAAAAGUUUUAAAUAUAUUUAAGAAAGAUAUUAUGUACAACUAAAAUUGUUGGAUUAAAAAAGUAUUUUAUGAAGUAAUAAUAAAAGUAAUUAAUUAUCUUAAUUAUAGUUAAAACUUAUCUUUAUUUUUUAAAUUUCAAUAAUUAAUUCAACUAUGACAUCUCUCUCAUCCAAAAUACUAAAUUGAAAAAACGAUAAUGCUAAAUGGGCAGUAUUUGGGCAGAAAAUUAAAAAUCUAUGAUAUUUUUUUUAAUUUUAAAAUAAAGGGAAAAGAAUCUGAUAUACCCCUCAAUUUUGUCAUUUGGAGUUGAUAUACCCCUCAUUAUAAAAGUGGCUCAUAUAUGCCCUUAUCGUUAUACAAACGGCUCACAUAUACCCCUGCCGUUACAAAAUGGCUCACAUAUACCCUUCAUUUAACGGAUGUUAAAAAAUUAGUUUUAAAUUUAUAUUUAUUACUUCUAAUUUUUUUUAAAAAAUUAUUUAGGGGUAUAUAUGGUUCUUCUAUCAAAGUUCAAGGUAUAUUUUUUUUUUUUCACACAUAAAUUAUUUUUUGACUUCUUUUAUUAUAAUUAUUUGAAUUUCUUAUUCUUAUUUUGUUUUUCUUUCAUUCCUUAGUUUAAAGAAUAAAAAAUUAAACUAUUUUUUUUGUAUGUAUUGUAUUUUAAUUUCGUAUUCGAAGAAAAAAUAUGGUCAUCUAUAAUAAGUUUUACAAGAAUAUUAGUAAAACAUAAAUAAUUUGAUUAUCAAAAUAAUAAUUACAAAUUAGUCAUUGAAAUAAAAAAAAGUCAAAAAAUAUGUUUGACAAGGAUUAAAUUUACUCAUAUGGGAUUAUAUAUUUUAGAAAAAAAUAAUAAAAAUUUAGAUUAAAUUUUUUUUUUUUCAUUUCCGUUAGAGGAAAAGGGUAUAUGUGAGUCAUUUGUUUACAAGUAGGGGUAUAUAUGAGUCAUUUUCAUAACAAGGGGUAUAUCAGCUCUAAAUGACAAAGUUGAGGGGUAUAUCAGACCCUUUUCCCUAAAAUAAAUUAAUCUUUUUUUUAUUUAUAGUUAAAAUAUAUUAAAAUUAAAAUGGUAAAAAUAUUUAAAAUGUAAAAUAAUAUAUGUAAAAUGCUACUUUAGCCAAAUUGUGGCCAUAUAUUCUUGCCAAAAAAGGAUUUUUCCUCGUACUAUUAUUGGAUUAUAACAUCAAAUUAUUAAAACAAUUAGUAAAUGGAGUGUAACCGGAAUAUUGAAUAAGCACCCCGGGCAAUUAUAAUUAAGUAAUAAAUCUUUUUAGGAUGAGUGACAACACAAUUUUUUUCAAAUAUACAAAUUAUUACAAUUAAUAAGUGAAGAAAAUUCUUACUACUAAAGUAUAUGAUAAUGUUUUAGACUUCUUGACACUUUCUUUAUGACCUUCAUAAAUAAGAAAUUUAUUUAUUUAAAAAAUUUCUUAAGUUGAUAAAUUUGAAGAAAAAUGUUGAGGGUAGAAAAUCUAACAAUUUUUUACCUCAUCUAAUAUAUGGAUUGUCGUAAUAAUUGAAAAAUGAAAUAGUAUUUAGUUAAUAUAGCAUCAUUUUUUAUGUGAUUAUUUAUUUUAUUGCUUCUUUUAUAUUUUAACAAUUAUCAUGAACCAACAUUAUUGUUCUUAUAUUUACAUUUUUUACUCUCCUUUCGACGUCUUUUUUUCUUCUCAUUACAAAAUAUUUGAAAUUUCUCAAACGAAUAAACCUUCUAUAUUGUGCAAAAUAUAUUGUAAAAAGAUCAAAUUUAGUUUUGACAUCUUCUUCACAUUUCAAGCAUUAAAACCAAUUAACACUGUUUUAUUAUUAUUAUUAUAUUAAUUUAAAUUUUCUGAGUUUAAUUUUAUUAUUCUAACAUUAUUUUAUAUACUUUUCAUUGAAAAAUUGCAUUGUUUAUAUUCUUACUUCAUAAUGUACGUAUAUAACAUUCUUUGCAGACUUCAUUUAUGAAAUUACACUAUAGAAUAAUAAUUUGAUUUAUAUGUACUUCCUUCCUUUCAAAUUGAUUAAAUUGUUAAGGUGUUUCACACAUUUAAAAUAAAUUAAGUCACAUAUUAAGCAUAACUUUAAAUUUUUACAAAAAUAAGAGCUCUCUAUAAAGUUUGACUUUAAGUCUCCAAAUUUGUUAAUACAGACCUGAAAGAGUGUAGGAGCUAACAAAACAAAUAGUUAUAAAAGUAAUUUAUUCAAUUUAUAGAAUUAAAGCUAUAUGUGCAUACACCAAAAUUUUACAUCCUUUAUCAUAGCAAAAUUUAUAGAAAAUAAAAAUAAAUUUAGUAACUAAUGUUUUUUUUUUCAAACACUGUAAAACACGAAAAAAAUUGCUAAUGUGUAAGAAAACAUGUGUAAUAUAAAACAAAUAUAAAAGAGUCCACGUGCAUCGCAUGAGUACCUAUAUUAAUUUUAGCUUGAAAAUAAAAAUUAAUAUUUUUUUAUUUCAAACACUACCAAUUAUUAUAAAACUAUUUAACUUAAUUGGAUGCACCAACUUUGACAGGUGUUAAUUCACUUCAAUAUUCAACCAAAAAAAAAAGAAGGUUAAAACGCAAAGCAACUUAAUUCAUUUGUUAUAAAUUGGAGGAGCCAAAGAUAGUGAGAUUCACAAAACUUUAUAUCUCUAAGAAUGGAAAUUCAAAAGGUAUCAUAGUUUCUAAUAUUUUUUUUAAUUAUAUAUGUCUAUCUUAAGUUUCAUUCAUAUACUCAUGAUUAAUUUAUUGAUCAUUUUAAACAAUGAAACAUAUCUUAGAUUUAAUUUUAUUUAUUUAUUUUUAUAACAUAGGAGUUUGAUUUAACGAUAGUUCCAACAGAAGGUGAAAUUGAUGCACCAUCAUCGCCAAGGAAGAAUUUAUGUCUCAGUGUGAUGGAAUCUGAUAUUAAAAAUGAAACGUCUUUUCAAGAACUCGACAUGAUUUUGACUCAAUAUUUAGAGACAUUGUCCGAGCGAAAAAAGUAUCAUAUAGGUAAGGAUAUACAUAUGUAUAGUCUUUCCAUACAAACAUAGUUACUUUUUACUCAACGAAAUUAUACAAGCAUUAGUGAUCGAGGUAAUUUAAUCUCAAUUUUAUUUAAAUAAAUACAUUUUCAUUUAUUUUUACGUGUGUAAUAAACAUAAAAGUAUUUAUAAGAAAAAUUAAUCAAAAGUUAUUCAUUAAUAAAUCAUCCCUAACUUUAUUUUACAUAUCUUUUAAGUAUUUUUGAUUUGGCCAAAUAAUAUUUUACGAUUUUAUUCAUAAUUAUAUCUUUGGUUAUUUAAUUUACAGGUUAUCCAAUUAACAUGUGUUACGAACAUCAUGCCACUUUAGCCCCACUUUUGCAAUUUCAUUUGAACAAUUGUGGAGAUCCCUUUACUCAGCACCCUACAGAUUUCCAUUCAAAAGAUUUUGAAGUGGCUGUUUUAGAUUGGUUUGCACAACUCUGGGAAAUAGAGAAAGAUGAAUAUUGGGGAUACAUUACUAGUGGUGGCACUGAGGGCAAUCUCCAUGGCCUUUUGGUUGGGCAGGUAUCAUUUUCAAGAAAGGGGGUGGGGGGGAGAGGUGGUAGUUUUUGAAUCAUAUGAAAAAUCAAAAAAUUAAAUGGCGUAAUCAGCCAUUGUCAUGGUCAAAAUCAUUACGAGCAAGACGUCUUACUUUACUUUUGUUGUACCAUAGGUACACAAUCAAUGACAAAUUUGUAUUGCCACACAAUAAUGACCACAAUCCUUCUAUGCAAGAGCUAUUUCUUUCUUUUUCCCUUUCGGUAGUUCACAAUAAACAUACCAUAGUGACGUAUAAACAUACAGUACGAUUAGCCAUUUUUGCCAAAUAAAAUUUAUUUUCUCUCAAACCUCCCGUAGAGGUGAGUUUUGACAUAUAUUAUUUUUUCUCAAACCUCCUAUAGAGGUGAGUUGUGACAUAUAUUCAAUCCAUAAUGAUUUUAUCAUAUCUUGACCCAUUCUCUUAUAGAAUGGUCGAGCAUUCAUAAUACUCAUCACAAGUCACAUUCUCUUCAAGGAAUUCAUAAAUUUGUAUUAUAAGUACAUUGUCAUGGUUCUAAAAUUCAUUAUAUUUCCAUGACACACCUCAACAUCACUUUGAAAGAUCAAGUGUACCAUCACUUUAUCUUCUUGUCUCAUGAUAGAGGAUUUAUAAAGUUGUCAAAUUGGGUCGACAACAUUCAGAAGUCCAAUGACCUUUCAUACCAUUUUAUAAUAAAAAUUCUCUUCACAUUUUGAAGGACUAUUUGGAGAACCCAUAGUGUUCUUCCUUUUAUAAUUAUCACAAUGAUGACUAUUAUAAUUUCGUCCCUUCACGCCCUUAUUCAUAUCAUUAAUUAUUUGUCAUCUUUCAGACGAAUUAUUUGUUGCUACUACAUUCAUAUAAUUGAAUGGAGCAAGUCAACAGAUGGAUUUCAAAGUUAUCACAUGUUGCUUCCAUAUUCUUUUCAAGGAAUGGAGCAAAUUUAAUAUGAUGAAUUUCAAUACUUUUCAUCAAAAAUAUAUUAUUUUGCCUCAGUCAUCAUCUUAUCAUCAAUUUGGUGCAUGGAGACUCAAACUCAAUGUCUUAUCCAUACAAGGCACAUUAGGCCAUAAUUCUAUGGGACUUGAACCCAAUACCUUAUCAUUAUGGUGCAUCAAAACUCGAAUUGAUGUCUUACCCUCUUGGUGCGAUAGAACUUGAAUCUACCGUCUUACCCUCAAAUAUUUUUCAUAAUGAAUGACAUAAAUGAGUCUUUUUUAAACAAAUUUGAUAACAUAUUUGAGUUUUUUUCUUAUGGUUAAAUGAUGCAAGUGCUUCAUCACUUUCAUAAAGCAUUUGAACAAUAUUAUAUAUUUGUGCAGAAGAGAGCUACUUCCUAAUGGAUAUUAUAUGCAUCAAAAGAUUCACAUUACUCGAUUUUCAAAGCAGCAAGAAUGUAUCGAAUGGAGCUACAAACUAUCAACACUUUAGUUAAUGGGGAAAUUGAUUAUGAAGAUUUACAAUCAAAGUUACUUGUCAACAAGAACAAACCAGCUAUCAUCAAUAUCAAUAUUGGUAAAAAUACAUACAUAUAUAUUCUUACAUCUUAUAACAUCACUUUUGGUAAAUUAGUAUAUAUGUGUUUAUAGGAACAACCUUCAAAGGAGCUAUUGAUGACCUCGAUUUCGUCAUACAAACACUUGAAAAUUGUGGUUAUUCAAAUGACAAUUAUUAUAUCCAUUGCGAUGCAGCAUUAUGUGGGCUAAUUCUCCCAUUUAUCAAACAUGUAAGCUUAUUUUUAUUCAAUUUUCCUUCAACGCUCGAUCGAAGUUACAAUGACAUAGUUUCUUUCUAUGGUAUUUGACAAUAGGCAAAAAAAAUUACCUUCAAGAAACCAAUUGGAAGUAUUUCAAUUUCAGGGCACAAAUUCUUGGGAUGUCCAAUGUCUUGUGGCGUUCAGAUAACAAGGAGAAGUUACGUUAGCACCCUCUCAAAAAUUGAGUAUAUUAAUUCCGCAGAUGCUACAAUUUCUGGUAGUCGAAAUGGAUUUACACCAAUAUUCUUAUGGUACUGUUUAAGCAAGAAAGGACAUGCUAGAUUGCAACAAGAUUCCAUAACAUGCAUUGAAAAUGCUCGGUAUUUGAAAGAUCGACUUCUUGAAGCAGGAAUUAGUGUUAUGCUGAAUGAUUUUAGUAUUACUGUUGUUUUUGAACGACCUUGUGACCAUAAAUUCAUUCGUCGUUGGAACUUGUGUUGCUUAAGAGGCAUGGCACAUGUUGUAAUUAUGCCAGGUAUUACAAGAGAAACUAUAGAUAGUUUCUUCAAAGAUCUAAUGCAAGAGAGGAACUAUAAGUGGUACCAAG
rnacentral:lncRNA from 1 species